rnacentral:lncRNA from 1 species
CAGCUGAGGACAAUGAGAAUCAGGAAGAUCCAGGAAAGAGUCAGAGCAAUAAGGAAGCAAAAGAAGUCAUGAGGCAACAUUUGACUAUAACAAGCAAAUAAAGCACUGCUGAACAGCCAUCAGGAAAACACCUUGGUGAAGAGUUGCAAUGGAGGAAGGACAGGAGGUUGCUGGGAGCAGCAGGGGAGUCCUGUUAAGACUUGGUGCCUUCUAUACCCACAUUCCUCUGUGCCUUCAACUGUGGAAAAGGCAGAAAAUAGUCACAACUCAAAAGAAGAAGGGCUUCUAGAGGAAAUGAGCAGAACAAGAUCUGGGAUUCUAGCUUCCCAAACUGAGAAAGAAAACCCCUGCUCUAACGCCAAUGCUGGAGUAACAGAAGAAUCCUCAGAAUAUGUAGAAAAGCUCAGUCAUCUGUCCCAAGGAAGUUUCUCACACGGUGCCACUGACAAGAACAAGGGAUUUGGGAGGAGAAGGAGAAACACACAGAACAUCUGUAAUACAUAGGUAAGAGGGGUCAACCAGGUUAAAAAGAAAAAGGAAUAAUCUGACUUUUUAAGUUUUAUUUUGUUUCUAAUUGACAUAAUUGUACAUAUUUACGGGGUAUAGUGUGACAUUUCAAUAUAUGAAUACAUUAUCUAAUGAUAAAAUAAGAGUAGUUAGGAUAUCCAUCACCUCAAACAGUUGUCAUUUAUUUGUGGUGAGAACAUUCAAAGUCCUCUCUUCUAGCCAUUUUUAAAUAUAUUGUCAACUACAGUCACCCUACUGUGCAACAGAGCACCGGAACUUAUUCCUCCUAUCUAUCCGCAAGUUUGUUCUCAUUGACAAAUCUCUCUCUAAGCCCCCCUACCCCAAAUUCUCACCAGCUUCUGGUAACCACUAUCCCACUCUCUAUUUCUAUGAGAUCAACUGUUUUAGACUCCACAUAGGAGUGAGAUCAUGCAGUAUUUGUCCUUCUGUGCUUAUUUCAUUUAACAUAAUGUCCUCUAGUUAAUCCAUGUUGUCACAGACGACAAGAUUUUAUUCUUUUUUAAUGGUUCACUAGUAUUCCAUUGUGUAUAUAUAACCAUUUUUCAAUCUAUUCAUCCAUUAAAGGACACUUACAUUGAUCUGUAUCUUGGGUAUUGUUAAUAGUACUGAAAUAAACAUGGGAGUGCAGAUAUCUCUUUAACAUACUGAUUUCAUUUCUUUUGUCUACAUACCCAGCAGUGGGAUUGCUGGAUCAUAUGUUACCUCCAUUUUUAAUUUUUUGAGGAACCCCCAUAUUGUUGGUCAUAAUGGCUGUACUCUAAUGUACAUUCCCACUAAAGGGGAACCCCCUGGCUCUUGGUAGCAUUGUGACGCCCCUCCCCCAUGCUGGAGUUUCCCCAGUCUGCUUGAGCAUGAGUUCCCUUUUCUCCACAUCCCUGCCAGCAUUUGCUAUUUUUUGUCUUUUUGGUAAUGCAUAGAAAUCAAAAUGGUAAAAUGAAAACAAAAAGAAAAUGGCAUUCACACAGUCAAUCUUUAUUUAUCUACUGCAGUAAAACUGGAUGAACCUGCUUUGUAGAGUAAAAAAAGGCUGGGUUCUAGUAUGGACUCUCCAACACUGGCUAUGUACUCUUCAGCUGGUGCCUUAGCAUCUCUAGUCCUAGUUUUCUCAU